AACGAACGCUGGCGGCAUGCCUAACACAUGCAAGUCGAACGGGAUCCUGGCUUCGGUCAGGUGAGAGUGGCGGACGGGUGAGUAACGCGUGGGAACCUGCCCAGUGGUGGGGGAUAACUGCGGGAAACUGCAGCUAAUACCGCAUGAGCCCGAGAGGGGAAAGAUUUAUCGCCAUUGGAGGGGCCCGCGUUCGAUUAGGUAGUUGGUGAGGUAACGGCUCACCAAGCCGACGAUCGAUAGCUGGUCUGAGAGGAUGAUCAGCCACACUGGGACUGAGAUACGGCCCAGACUCCUACGGGAGGCAGCAGUGGGGGAAUAUUGGACAAUGGGGGGCAACCCUGAUCCAGCAAUGCCGCGUGAGUGAUGAAGGCCUCGGGUUGUAAGGCUCUUUUGGUCGGGGACGAGUGAUGACGGUACCCGCCGAGAAUAAGACCCCGGCUAACUCGUGCCAGCAGCCGCGGUAA
rnacentral:rRNA from 1 species